rnacentral:rRNA from 1 species
AAGCCCUUCGGGGUGGAUUAGUGGCGAACGGGUGAGUAACACGUGAGCAACCUGCCCUUGACUCUGGGAUAAGCCUGGGAAACUGGGUCUAAUACCGGAUAGGACCUCCUGCCGCACGGUGGGGGGUGGAAAGCCUUGUGCGGUCUUGGAUGGGCUCGCGGCCUAUCAGCUUGUUGGUGGGGUGAUGGCCUACCAAGGCGACGACGGGUAGCCGGCCUGAGAGGGUGACCGGCCACACUGGGACUGAGACACGGCCCAGACUCCUACGGGAGGCAGCAGUGGGGAAUAUUGCACAAUGGGCGGAAGCCUGAUGCAGCGACGCCGCGUGGGGGAUGACGGCCUUCGGGUUGUAAACCCCUUUCGGCAGGGAACAAGCCUUUCGGGGUGAGGGUACCUGCGGAAGAAGCGCCGGCUAACUACGUGCCAGCAGCCGCGGUAAUACGUAGGGCGCGAGCGUUAUCCGGAAUUAUUGGGCGUAAAGAGCUCGUAGGCGGUUUGUCGCGUCUGCUGUGAAAGCCCGGGGCUCAACCCCGGGUCUGCAGUGGGUACGGGCAGGCUGGAGUGCAGUAGGGGAGACUGGAAUUCCUGGUGUAGCGGUGAAAUGCGCAGAUAUCAGGAGGAACACCGAUGGCGAAGGCAGGUCUCUGGGCUGUAACUGACGCUGAGGAGCGAAAGCAUGGGGAGCGAACAGGAUUAGAUACCCUGGUAGUCCAUGCCGUAAACGUUGGGCACUAUGGUGUGGGGGCCAUUCCACGGUUUCCGCGCCGCAGCUAACGCAUUAAGUGCCCCGCCUGGGGAGUACGGCCGCAAGGCUAAAACUCAAAGGAAUUGACGGGGGCCCGCACAAGCGGCGGAGCAUGCGGAUUAAUUCGAUGCAACGCGAAGAACCUUACCAAGGCUUGACAUGUGCCGGACCGUCCCAGAGAUGGGGCUUCCCUUCGGGGCCGGUUCACAGGUGGUGCAUGGUUGUCGUCAGCUCGUGUCGUGAGAUGUUGGGUUAAGUCCCGCAACGAGCGCAACCCUCGUUCCAUGUUGCCAGCACUUCGGGUGGGGACUCAUGGGAGACUGCCGGGGUCAACUCGGAGGAAGGUGGGGACGACGUCAAAUCAUCAUGCCCCUUAUGUCUUGGGCUUCACGCAUGCUACAAUGGCCGGUACAAAGGGUUGCGAUACUGUGAGGUGGAGCCAAUCCCAGAAAGCCGGUCUCAGUUCGGAUUGGGGUCUGCAACUCGACCCCAUGAAGUCGGAGUCGCUAGUAAUCGCAGAUCAGCAACGCUGCGGUGAAUACGUUCCCGGGCCUUGUACACACCGCCCGUCAAGUCACGAAAGUCGGUAACACCCGAAGCCGGUGGCCCAA